rnacentral:rRNA from 1 species
GUAGGUGGCAAGCGUUGUCCGGAAUUAUUGGGCGUAAAGCGCGCGCAGGCGGUUCUUUAAGUCUGAUGUGAAAGCCCACGGCUCAACCGUGGAAGGUCAUUGGAAACUGGAGAACUUGAGUACAGAAGAGGAAAGCGGAAUUCCACGUGUAGCGGUGAAAUACGUAGAGAUGUGGAGGAACACCAGUGGCGAAGGCGGCUUUCUGGUCUGUAACUGACGCUGAGGCGCGAAAGCGUGGGGAGCAAACAGGGAUUAGAUACCCUGGUAGUCCACGCCGUAAACGAUGAGUGCUAAGUGUUAGGGGGUUUCCCGCCCCUUAGUGCUGCAGCUAACGCAUUAAGCACUCCGCCGUGGGGAGUACGGCCGCAAGGCUG